rnacentral:rRNA from 1 species
AGUCGAACGAUGAAGCUGGAGCUUGCUCUGGUGGAUUAGUGGCGAACGGGUGAGUAACACGUGAGUAACCUGCCCUUGACUCUGGAAUAAGCGUUGGAAACGACGUCUAAUACCGGAUACGAGCUUCCGCCGCAUGGUGAGGAGCUGGAAAGAAUUUCGGUCAAGGAUGGACUCGCGGCCUAUCAGGUAGUUGGUGAGGUAAUAGCUCACCAAGCCUACGACGGGUAGCCGGCCUGAGAGGGUGACCGGCCACACUGGAACUGAGACACGGUCCAGACUCCUACGGGAGGCAGCAGUGGGGAAUAUUGCACAAUGGGCGCAAGCCUGAUGCAUCAACGCCGCGUGAGGGACGACGGCCUUCGGGUUGUAAACCUCUUUUAGUAGGGAAGAAGCGAAAGUGACGGUACCUGCAGAAAAAGCACCGGCUAACUACGUGCCAGCAGCCGCGGUAAUACGUAGGGUGCAAGCGUUAUCCGGAAUUAUUGGGCGUAAAGAGCUCGUAGGCGGUUUGUCGCGUCUGCUGUGAAAACUGGGGGCUCAACCCCCAGCCUGCAGUGGGUACGGGCAGACUAUAGUGCGGUAGGGGAGAUUGGAAUUCCUGGUGUAGCGGUGGAAUGCGCAUAUAUCAGGAGGAACACCAAUGGCGAAGGUAGAUCUCUGGGCCGUUACUGACGCUGAGGAGCGAAAGUAUGG